rnacentral:rRNA from 1 species
AGGGGCGCAGCAGUGGGGAAUCUUCCACAAUGGGCGAAAGCCUGAUGGAGCGACGCCGCGUGAGCGAAGAAGGCCUUCGGGUUGUAAAGCUCUGUCUGGAGGGACGAAGGAAGUGACGGUACCUCCGGAGGAAGCCACGGCUAACUACGUGCCAGCAGCCGCGGUAAUACGUAGGUGGCGAGCGUUGUCCGGAAUUACUGGGCGUAAAGGGCGCGCAGGCGGCGUGUCAAGCCGGACGUGAAAACCCCUGGCUCAACUGGGGGUGUCGUUCGAAACUGGCAUGCUUGAGUGCAGGAGAGGGAAGCGGAAUUCCCGGUGUAGCGGUGAAAUGCGUAGAUAUCGGGAGGAUCACCAGUGGCGAAGGCGGCUUCCUGGACUGCUACUGACGCUGAGGCGCGAAAGCUGGGGGAGCGAACAGGAUUAGAUACCCUGGUAGUCCCAGCCGUAAACGAUGAACACUAGGUGUGGGAGGUAUCGACCCCUUCCGUGCCGCAGCUAACGCAAUAAGUACCCCGCCUGGGGAGUACGUGCGCAAGCAUGAAACUCAAAGGAAUUGGCGGGGGAGCACA